rnacentral:lncRNA from 1 species
AAAGUGAAAUUUCAAUUAGUAUGGUAUACUCACAGUCUAUAGUUGUUGAUUUAUGACAUACUCAUAGUGGUCAAAGGCUCAAGCUCAAGCUCAAGGCGCGAAAGGUGAGCCUUGGGCCUAGGGACAACGUACUUGAGAGGCAAAGGCUUUCUAAGCAAGGUACACAAUAUAAAUAGUUCCAGGCCAUUUUUGAAUGUUUAAGACCACGUUUAGCUGUUCAUGCUCAGGCCGGAAUUUGUAGAAUCUUGCCAGAAUCGCGUCUAAGUGUCUUGAUGGCCUCUCCUGGUUCGCCUUUGUCUGAUAUGGUUGUGUAUGGGCGCACGCCUGGUUCGCCUUUGACUGGUAUGGUUGCGUCUACAGGGCGCCUAGACGAGCGCCUUUGACUACUAUGAUAUACAAAUCAGUUUUUUUUCCGGUAAUAUACAUAAUUAGUUUUUUCAUUUACCCAUGAUGGAAAAAUUAUGACGAGCGACAAUAAAAAUACAGACUAAAAACAUUUAACUCGUGGAAAAAGUUUUUGAUCCGCCACUGCUCACAGGGGCGGACCUAGUUUUAUAAUAGGGGUAACCGUAACCCCCACUACCCCUUGACGCUCCGGCGGUAGUGUAAAUUUUGGAAAAAAAAAAUGACGUUUUUUUUAUUUCGUUACCCAUUUUUUUUAAACGUUGCCUCUAUAACGAUUUUCUAGAUCCGCCACUAACUACUCAUCACCUUGGUCCAUGAAUUGGGUGACAAAAUCAAGGUGGGAAAGCUUCCAUCAUAGUACAAAGCCUCAAACUUAAUUGAACCUGUAUGGUUCAAAUAAACUUCAGAUAUCAAAGCAACAAAAGAAGUGCACACCUGGAAUAAAUUUAAGAAUUAUGUAAAAGAUACCAAUCUCAUAUAGCAGGCCAGAGAUGGAAGAACAACCCGGGCCGCCGGUAAUCCAAAGCAUGAGAGGAUCAAGCUCAGGAUCCGACUCGGACCGAAUGAAGUAGUAAAAAAGCUGCACAUCUUCAUUCUCAUCCACACCCACAUACCUACAUAAAAUAUCAUGUAUCCAAUUAAUCAUAUCUACACACUUGCUUAUGUAUCUAACAUAAACGAUAAAUAUAUGAAUAAAAAAGAGUACCCAGUUUCAAGGUAAAAAGGGAGGGGUCCUUGGAAACCUGGAAGAUACUCCACUCUCCCUGCUGAAUUUGCUGAAGUUGAGGUUGAAACAUGAGAACAGAUGAAGAAGGUGAUGAUGAGGAACCAAUUUAUCAUUUUACCAAUCAUUCAGUGACAAACAACUGAAGAAGCGUAAAGUAUUGAGCAACAUAGAGAGGCAGGGCUGUUGUCAAAAGUAGAGGAGCUAGGGUUUGUUAGUCACCCCUAUUGAGAAAUUGGGGCUUCUAUCAAAAUCCGAGGAGUUAGGGCUUCUCAGCUUGCUUAAAAGUGCUGACGGAUACUCUCUUACAACUUUAGUGUAUGUUGCGCUACUAGCUCUGAUGGCAGUGAUACUAGCAGUUGUAUUGAUACCGGAUGAUUUUACUGCUUUGGUAGUGGUGCAGACCGUUGUACUAGGUAUGCUUGCUGCUACUGGAGCUGGAUUGUUUGUUGGUUAGAUUGUCUUAGACGGACUACAUGAAGCUGAUUUAGAGUGUUGUUUUGUAUCAUUUAUCAGUUAAUGUAUUUGACUGUGAAUAAUCAUUGUUUGUUGUAAUCCAAAUUUGUAACCAAUGGAUGCGAUUAUAUUAUAGUGGUUCCCCGUCGUGAUACGACGGGUGAUAAAUCUAGUUAUAUUG